rnacentral:rRNA from 1 species
UACGGGGGGUGCGAGCGUUGUCCGGAAUCACUGGGCGUAAAGGGCGCGUAGGUGGUUUGAUAAGGGUGUGGUGAAAGCCCGGGGCUCAACCCCGGGUCUGCCGUGCCGACUGUCAAACUCGAGGGCUGUAGAGGCAGACGGAAUUCCGGGUGUAGCGGUGGAAUGCGUAGAGAUCCGGAGGAAGACCGGUGGCGAAGGCGGGUCUCUGGGCCGAUACUGACGCUGAGGAGCGAAAGCGUGGGGAGCGAACAGG